AUUGAACGCUGGCGGCAGGCUUAACACAUGCAAGUCGAGCGGAGCGGAGGACGAGUGAGUAAUGCCUAGGUAUCUGCGUGGCACUGGGGGAAACUGUCUGGCACCGGGGGCUAAUACUGCAUACAUUCAGAUGAGCCUAGGUCGGAUUAGCAAGUUGGUGGGGUAAAGGCCUACCAAUGCGACGAUCCGUAACUGGUCUGAGAGGUUGAUCAGUCACACUUGAACUGAGACACGGUCCAGACUCCUACGGGAGGCAGCAGUGGGGAAUAUUGGACAAUGGGCGAAAGCCUAAUCCAGCCAGGCCGCGUGUGUGAAGAAGGUCUUCGGAUUGUAAGACACUUUAAGUUGGGAGGCGUUACCAACAGAAUAAGCACCGGCUAACUUCGUGCCAGCAGCCGCGGUAAUAC
rnacentral:rRNA from 1 species